rnacentral:rRNA from 1 species
GAUGAACGCUAGCGGCAGGCCUAACACAUGCAAGUCGAGGGGCAGCACAGAAACAGCAAUGUUUUGGUGGCGACCGGCGGACGGGUGCGUAACGCGUAUGCAACCUACCUUUAACAGGGGGAUAACGGAGAGAAAUUUCCACUAAUACCCCAUAACAUCGAUCAAGGCAUCUUGAUUGGUUGAAAACUCCGGUGGUUAAAGAUGGGCAUGCGUUGUAUUAGGUAGUUGGUGAGGUAAUGGCUCACCAAGCCUACGAUACAUAGGGGGACUGAGAGGUUAGCCCCCCACACUGGUACUGAGACACGGACCAGACUCCUCCGGGAGGCAGCAGUGAGGAAUAUUGGUCAAUGGGGGCAACCCUGAACCAGCCAUGCCGCGUGCAGGAAGGCGGCUCUAUGAGUUGUAAACUCCUUUUAAACAGGGAUAAAGCACAGUAUGUAUACUGUGUUGAAGGUACUGUAAGAAUAAGGAUCGGCUAACUCCGUGCCAGCCGCCGCGGUAA